rnacentral:misc_RNA from 1 species
GAUGAAGAACGCAGCGAAAUGCGAUAAGUAAUGUGAAUUGCAGAAUUCAGUGAAUCAUCGAAUCUUUGAACGCACAUUGCGCCCUCUGGUAUUCCGGGGGGCAUGCCUGUUCGAGCGUCAUUAUAACCACUCAAGCUCUCGCUUGGUAUUGGGGUUCGCGGUUCCGCGGCCCCUAAAAUCAGUGGCGGUGCCUGUCGGCUCUACGCGUAGUAAUACUCCUCGCGUCUGGGUCCGGUAGGUCUACUUGCCAGCAACCCCCAAUUUUUACAGGUUGACCUCGGAUCAGGUAGGGAUACCCGCUGAACUUAAGCAUAUCAAUAAGCGGAGGA